rnacentral:rRNA from 1 species
AGAGUUUGAUCCUGGCUCAGGACGAACGCUGGCGGCGUGCUUAACACAUGCAAGUCGAACGGUGAACCCUUCGGUGGGGAUUAGUGGCGAACGGGUGAGUAACACGUGGGCAAUCUGCCCUUCACUCUGGGACAAGCCCUGGAAACGGGGUCUAAUACCGGAUAAUACUUCCACUCGCAUGGGUGGGGGUUGAAAGCUCCGGCGGUGAAGGAUGAGCCCGCGGCCUAUCAGCUUGUUGGUGAGGUAGUGGCUCACCAAGGCGACGACGGGUAGCCGGCCUGAGAGGGCGACCGGCCACACUGGGACUGAGACACGGCCCAGACUCCUACGGGAGGCAGCAGUGGGGAAUAUUGCACAAUGGGCGAAAGCCUGAUGCAGCGACGCCGCGUGAGGGAUGACGGCCUUCGGGUUGUAAACCUCUUUCAGCAGGGAAGAAGCGAAAGUGACGGUACCUGCAGAAGAGGCGCCGGCUAACUACGUGCCAGCAGCCGCGGUAAUACGUAGGGCGCAAGCGUUGUCCGGAAUUAUUGGGCGUAAAGAGCUCGUAGGCGGUCUGUCGCGUCGGAUGUGAAAGCCCGGGGCUUAACCCCGGGUCUGCAUUCGAUACGGGCAGACUAGAGUGUGGUAGGGGAGAUCGGAAUUCCUGGUGUAGCGGUGAAAUGCGCAGAUAUCAGGAGGAACACCGGUGGCGAAGGCGGAUCUCUGGGCCAUUACUGACGCUGAGGAGCGAAAGCGUGGGGAGCGAACAGGAUUAGAUACCCUAGUAGUCC